AUUGAACGCUGGCGGCAUGCCUUACACAUGCAAGUCGAACGGCAGCACGGGAGCAAUCCUGGUGGCGAGUGGCGAACGGGUGAGUAAAGUAUCGGAACGUGCCCAGUCGUGGGGGAUAACGUAGCGAAAGUUACGCUAAUACCGCAUAUGAUCUAUGGAUGAAAGCGGGGGAUCGCAAGACCUCGCGCGAUUGGAGCGGCCGAUAUCAGAUUAGGUAGUUGGUGGGGUAAAGGCUCACCAAGCCGACGAUCUGUAGCUGGUCUGAGAGGACGACCAGCCACACUGGGACUGAGACACGGCCCAGACUCCUACGGGAGGUAGCAGUGGGGAAUUUUGGACAAUGGGCGAAAGCCUGAUCCAGCCAUGCCGCGUGCAGGAUGAAGGCCUUCGGGUUGUAAACUGCUUUUGUACGGAACGAAAAGGUUUGGCCUAAUAAGCUGAGCUCAUGACGGUACCGUAAGAAUAAGCACCGGCUAACUACGUGCCAGCCGCCGCAGUAA
rnacentral:rRNA from 1 species